rnacentral:rRNA from 1 species
GACGAACGCUGGCGGCGUGCCUAAUACAUGCAAGUCGAACGCAGUGGGGACGGGUGAGUAACACGUGCGUAACCUCCCAUAUGAGGGGAUAACCCUUGGCAACAGGUGCUAAAACCGAUAUUGAUGGAUGGACCCGGGGUGGAUUAGCUAGGUGGUGAGGUAACGGCUCACCAAGGCCACGAUGCAUAGCCGACAUGAGAGGGUGAUCGGCCACACGGGGACUGAGACACGGCCCAGACUCCGACGGGAGGCAGCAGUGGGGAAUCUUCGGCAAUGGACGAAAGGCUGAUCGAGCAACGCCGCGUGAGUGAAGAAGGUUUUCGGGUCGUAAAACUCUGUGGUUAGGGAAGCGGUAUCUGACCAGAAAGCCACGGCUAACUACGUGCCAGCAGCCGCGGUAAUUC